rnacentral:rRNA from 1 species
GUGAGGAAUUUUCCGCAAUGGGCGAAAGCCUGACGGAGCAAUGCCGCGUGAAGGAUGAAGGCCUAUGGGUUGUAAACUUCUUUUCUUAGAGAAGAAUAUUGACGGUAUCUGAGGAAUAAGCAUCGGCUAACUCUGUGCCAGCAGCCGCGGUAAGACAGAGGAUGCAAGCGUUAUCCGGAAUGAUUGGGCGUAAAGCGACUGUAGGUGGCUGCAAAAGUCGCCUGUCAAAGAUCAGGGCUUAACCCUGGGCCGGCAGGAGAAACUCUGAGGCUAGAGUUUGGUAGGGGCAGAGGGAAUUCCCGGUGGAGCGAUGAAAUGCGUAGAGAUCGGGAGGAACACCAAAGGCGAAAGCACUCUGCUGGGCCACAACUGACACUGAGAGACGAAAGCGAGGGGAGCAAAAGGGAUUAGAUACCCUGGUAGUCC